GUGCAGGCCGUUCAGCGAGGCUGGGCCUGCCGUGGUUCUGUCCUUUCCUGUUGUGCUUGCUAGAGCGAGUGGGUUGGUUUGAGGCCUUGCCGUGAUCCCCUACGGCAAGGUUGUAUAGACCUCAUACAUUU